rnacentral:lncRNA from 1 species
AAGAUGAGCUUCAGAGUCUGGAGCCCUGAUACCACAAGCUUUCCUGCUUUUGCAAGCACUGGAGUCUGACAUAUUUGCAAUGGAAUGGAAAAGCUUCCUCUGAGCUCUGUAUCACACCUGACCACUCACUCUGUUAGGAGUCUGAAAACACAGUCAAGUCUUAGAAAGUACCAAUUAUUUUAGUUGUGCCACUGAAUAAUAGACUGGAAAACAAGAUGCCUGAAGUGCUUCAAAGGCCCAGUGAAGGUCUGUAGAGACGCCUGUGUUAUUUUAGGAAUAAAUAUGUGCAGCCUAAGUAAUGUAUAACUACU